GCCAGGCACUGUGGCACAUGCCUGCAAUCCCAGCAACUUGGGAGGCUGAGAUGGGAGGAUCAUGAGUGACUCACUCAGUGAGACCCUGUCUCUA
rnacentral:sRNA from 1 species